GGGGCGUUAGCUCAGUCGGUCAGAGCAGGGGACUCAUAAUCCUUUGGUCGCGGGUUCAAGUCCCGCACGCCCUACAA
rnacentral:tRNA from 1 species